rnacentral:lncRNA from 1 species
GUUUCUCUCACCAGCCUGGAACAUGCCAAGUAGACAUGGCUAACUGGCCAGCAAGCCUGAAGGCUCACGGUCACCACCACCUCAGCAGUGGGAUUACAACUGGGUGCCAUCACGCCUGGCUUCAGCCCCCACCCCAGGGGAAGGGCAAACAGCUGGAAUGGCAGCUACAGCCCAGUAAGUACCCUCUGGGCUGCUGUUGCAACCCGUGCCUGGCGGAGACUCUGCAGCAGGCUGAUAUUAUGUAGGCUUAGUCUAGAGGCAAGACAGACAGACAGGCUGAAACUUCAAUACAACUGAUCAAACGAAAUUUCCUAU